UACGUAGGUGGCAAGCGUUGUUCGGAAUUACUGGGCGUAAAGCGCGCGCAGGCGGCCUCGUAAGUCAGAUGUGAAAGCCCCCGGCUUAACCGGGGAGGGGCAUUGGAAACUGGGAGGCUUGAGUAUAGCAGAGAAGAGUGGAAUUCCACGUGUAGCGGUGAAAUGCGUAGAGAUGUGGAGGAACACCGGUGGCGAAGGCGACUCUUUGGCCUAUAACUGACGCUGAGGCGCGAAAGCGUGGGGAGCAAACAGG
rnacentral:misc_RNA from 1 species